GCAGCGGUCACUUUCUGUUUCCGGUUGUAGGGGUGAGGCCGUUUCCGCAGAGGCAUUGGCGAGUUGUGAAUGUGUAGCUUCUGAAUUGCCCCGUCAGAGAUGAACAAAUAAACAUUAAAAAAAAAGAUGCUGGAUAAUUUUCAGAAUUUCCUAGUAAGGCCAGAGACCAGGCUCAGAAACCUCACCCACUAUCCUGCCCCAGAUCUGAUCCAGUGAAAACACCACCAGGCAUAAUUGCUACAGCUUCACGAUGCAGACACAAUGACCAUGGACAGGGACUGGGCGCCAGCACCAAAGCUGCUGCUCCGGGACACUGGUUUUGGCUGGUUUCUCUGCUCUCACUUGUGCCGGAAUGGAUGAAGUAUUUUCCUAAGAGUCCCUUUCUGGGGUGUUCCCUUUGGCUGGACUCCUUCUUGAAAUGGCCAAACCUGCCUGCCUCUCUCAAGAAGCACAGCAAGCCUUCGGGAACCCAGGAACUUGGGGCGUGCAAGCCAUUUGGAGCGCAGUCUUCUCUCCUCUUCUGUCUUCUCAAGGAGCUAGCCGCCGACAGUUUGUCUUCAGACUUUAGGAAGAAGUCAGACACCAGUCCCUUUGUUCCUGAAACUCCGCAGGCUGUAUCAAACUCCCCAGGUGGUCCUCUUGAAGCGCCCCCUCAUUUGGCACGAAGCAAAGAGGGAGCACCCUCCACCCUCCCCUGCUUGGGGAGAAGGGGAAACGUCCAGCAUACAGACAGCUACUUCCAAAGAAAUCCUCUGACAUUCUCUUCCAUAGCCUGAGGUGGAUGCCGAGCUAAUCCUUCCCAGUAUUGAGCUAGCGGUUCCCGGGGUCCAUUUCACAACCUCUUAGGGUGGGUGCAUAGGUGAUCUGGCUCCUCCUCCCUUUAGAAUGUGGACAGAUUGGCGCCUAUGGUUUUGUUCUCAGCCUUUGGGGUUUCUGGUGAAACUGACACAGAAAGAGUCCCGUUUUAGUAAAUGAAGUCACCAUUGUCAACCCCUCCUCCUUAUGGAACUCCUGUUCUUACAUCAGGACACCUGAUGCGCUGUAGGUGAUCUGCAAGAGUCUGACUUAUGAAAUGGACUGUGAAUGUACAGUUCAUGUAGAAUUAAGUACUA